rnacentral:rRNA from 1 species
UACAGAGGGUGCGAGCGUUAAUCGGAAUUACUGGGCGUAAAGGGUGCGUAGGUGGUUACGUAAGUUAGGUGUGAAAGCCCCGGGCUCAACCUGGGAACAGCGCUUAAUACUGCGUGACUAGAGUAUUGCAGAGGUAAGUGGAAUUUCCGGUGUAGCGGUGAAAUGCGUAGAUAUCGGAAGGAACACCAGUGGCGAAGGCGACUUACUGGGCAAAAACUGACACUGAGGCACGAAAGCGUGGGGAGCAAACAGG